GAUCUAAAAUGUACGUGUACGUACGUAAUUUUAUUUCCAUCACUAAAAUACCAAUGACGUCAUUUUAUGUGGAAAACCUCUCUGGCUACUGUACCGUUGCAAAUAUAUCUUCUUUAUUUAGACCUAAUUAUGUUAAAAAAUGGGAAUUAUUAUGACUCCAUGGACUGCUUUCUCAAAAAGUCCUUCAACUUUAAUUCGUAAAUCUAUUUUAUAAUUGAUUCUUAUUACGUACGUCACAUACAUGAGGCUUUUCAUCAGCUUUUCAUGUUUUCAUUGUGGGCGUGUACCUCUAUUUUCGCCGGAAUAUUCAUCCGUAGACUUUGUGUUUUUAUAGUAUGGUGGGAGGACGAACUAACAUUACAUUACUGUCCAUAGAAUUAAUAUGAGUCGCAGUCAAUUUAUCAUCAUGAUUCAUGAAUCCUAUUCCUGGCCCAUGGGCAAGAAAUUAUGUAUCUUAUCAUACGUUUAUCCAUUUUUGUAA
rnacentral:lncRNA from 1 species